UAGAGUUUGAUCCUGGCUCAGGAUGAACGCUAGCGACAGGCUUAACACAUGCAAGUCGAGGGGCAGCGGGGCAGGAAGCUUGCUUUCUGCCGCCGGCGACCGGCGCACGGGUGAGUAACACGUAUGCAACCUGGCCGUGACAGAUGGAUAACCGGGAGAAAUCCCGCCUAAUACAGCAUGACGCCGGGAAGGGACAUCCCUUUCCGGCCAAAGGGGGCGACUCCGGUCACGGAUGGGCAUGCGGCGCAUUAGGUAGUUGGUGGGGCAACGGCCCACCAAGCCGACGAUGCGUAGGGGUUCUGAGAGGAAGGUCCCCCACAUUGGAACUGAGACACGGUCCAAACUCCUACGGGAGGCAGCAGUGAGGAAUAUUGGUCAAUGGCCGGAAGGCUGAACCAGCCAAGUCGCGUGAGGGAAUAAGGCCCUACGGGUCGUAAACCUCUUUUGUCAGGGAGCAAGGCCGCCCACGUGUGGACGGAAGGAGAGUACCUGGAGAAAAAGCAUCGGCUAACUCCGUGCCAGCAGCCGCGGUAAUACGGAGGAUGCGAGCGUUAUCCGGAUUUAUUGGGUUUAAAGGGUGCGUAGGCGGCCUGCCAAGUCAGCGGUAAAAUUGCGGGGCUCAACCCCGUACAGCCGUUGAAACUGCCGGGCUCGAGUGGGCGAGAAGUAUGCGGAAUGCGUGGUGUAGCGGUGAAAUGCAUAGAUAUCACGCAGAACCCCGAUUGCGAAGGCAGCAUACCGGCGCCCUACUGACGCUGAGGCACGAAAGUGCGGGGAUCAAACAGGAUUAGAUACCCUGGUAGUCCGCACAGUAAACGAUGAAUGCUAGCUGUCCGGGGGGAUUGACCCCUGGGUGG
rnacentral:rRNA from 1 species